rnacentral:rRNA from 1 species
GACGAACGCUGGCGGCGUGCUUAACACAUGCAAGUCGAACGGAAAGGCCCUGCUUUUGUGGGGUGCUCGAGUGGCGAACGGGUGAGUAACACGUGAGUAACCUGCCCUUGACUUUGGGAUAACUUCAGGAAACUGUGGCUAAUACCGGAUAUGAGCUCCUGCUGCAUGGUGGGGGUUGGAAAGUUUCGGCGGUUGGGGGUGGACUCGAGGCUUAUCAGCUUGUUGGUGGGGUAGUGGCUUACCAAGGCUUUGACGGGUAGCCGGCCUGAGAGGGUGACCGGCCACUUUGGGACUGAGAUACGGCCCAGACGCCUACGGGAGGCAGAAGUGGGGAAUAUUGCACAAUGGGCGGAAGCCUGAUGCAGCAGCGCCGCGUGCGGGAUGACGGCCUUCGGGUUGUAAACCGCUUUCGCCGGGGACGAAGCGUGAGUGACGGUAAUGGGUAAAGAAGCACCGGCUAACUACGUG